rnacentral:rRNA from 1 species
GAUGAACGCCGGCGGCGUGCCUAAUACAUGCAAGUCGAGCGAAUGGAUUAAGAGCUUGCUCUUAUGAAGUUAGCGGCGGACGGGUGAGUAACACGUGGGUAACCUGCCCAUAAGACUGGGAUAACUCCGGGAAACCGGGGCUAAUACCGGAUAACAUUUUGAACCGCAUGGUUCGAAAUUGAAAGGCGGCUUCGGCUGUCACUUAUGGAUGGACCCGCGUCGCAUUAGCUAGUUGGUGAGGUAACGGCUCACCAAGGCAACGAUGCGUAGCCGACCUGAGAGGGUGAUCGGCCACACUGGGACUGAGACACGGCCCAGACUCCUACGGGAGGCAGCAGUAGGGAAUCUUCCGCAAUGGACGAAAGUCUGACGGAGCAACGCCGCGUGAGUGAUGAAGGCUUUCGGGUCGUAAAACUCUGUUGUUAGGGAAGAACAAGUGCUAGUUGAAUAAGCUGGCACCUUGACGGUACCUAACCGGAAAGCCACGGCUAACUACGUGCCAGCCGCCGCGGUAA